GACGAACGCUGGCGGCGGGCUUAACACAUGCAAGUCGAACGGAAAGGCCCUGCUUUUGUGGGGUGCUCGAGUGGCGAACGGGUGAGUAACACGUGAGUAACCUGCCCUUGACUUUGGGAUAACUUCAGGAAACUGGGGCUAAUACCGGAUAGGAUCUCCUGCUGGAUUGUGGGGGGUGGAAAUUUUCGGCGGUUGGGGAUGGACUCGCGGCUUAUCAGCUUGUUGGUUGGGUAGUGGCUUACCAAGGCUUUGACGGGUAGCCGGCCUGAGAGGGUGACCGGCCACAUUGGGACUGAGAUACGGACCAGACUCCUACGGGAGGCAGCAGUGGGGAAUAUUGCACAAUGGGCGGAAGCCUGAUGCAGCAACGCCGCGUGCGGGAUGACGGCCUUCGGGUUGUAAACCGCUUUCGCCUGUGACGAAGCGUGAGUGACGGUAAUGGGUAAAGAAGCACCGGCUAACUACGUG
rnacentral:rRNA from 1 species